rnacentral:rRNA from 1 species
CAGUAGCCACGGUAAUACGAAGGGUGCAAGCGUUACUCGGAAUUACUGGGCGUAAAGCGUGCGUAGGUGGUGGUUUAAGUCCGUUGUGAAAGCCCUGGGCUCAACCUGGGAAUUGCAGUGGAUACUGGGUCACUAGAGUGUGGUAGAGGAAAGUGGAAUUUCCGGUGUAGCAGUGAAAUGCGUAGAGAUCGGAAGGAACAUCUGUGGCGAAGGCGACUAUCUGGGCCAACACUGACACUGAGGCACGAAAGCGUGGGGAGCAAACAGGAUUAGAUACCCCCGUAGUCCCUGUCUCUUAUAC